rnacentral:rRNA from 1 species
AGUGGCGAACGGGUGAGUAAUGCAUCGGAACGUGCCCAGUCGUGGGGGAUAACGCAGCGAAAGUUGUGCUAAUACCGCAUACGAUCUAUGGAUGAAAGCGGGGGACCUUCGGGCCUCGCGCGAUUGGAGCGGCCGAUGUUAGACUAGGUAGUUGGUGGGGUAAAGGCUCACCAAGCCAACGAUCUAUAGCUGGUCUGAGAGGACGACCAGCCACACUGGAACUGAGACACGGUCCAGACUCCUACGGGAGGCAGCAGUGGGGAAUUUUGGACAAUGGGCGAAAGCCUGAUCCAGCAAUACCGCGUGCAGGAAGAAGGCCCUCGGGUUGUAAACUGCUUUUGUACGGAACGAAACGGCGCGCUCUAAUAAAGUGCGCUAAUGACGGUACCGUAAGAAUAAGCACCGGCUAACUACGUGCCAGCAGCCGCGGUAAUACGUAGGGUGCGAGCGUUAAUCGGAAUUACUGGGCGUAAAGCGUGCGCAGGCGGUUUUGUAAGACAGGCGUGAAAUCCCCGGGCUCAACCUGGGAAUUGCGCUUGUGACUGCAAGGCUAGAGUACGGUAGAGGGGGGUAGAAUUCCGCGUGUAGCAGUGAAAUGCGUAGAUAUGCAGAGGAACACCGAUGGCGAAGGCAGCCCCCUGGACCUGUACUGACGCUCAUGCACGAAAGCGUGGGGAGCAAACAGGAUUAGAUACCCUGGUAG